UACGGAGGGUGCGAGCGUUGUCCGGAAUCACUGGGCGUAAAGGGCUUGUAGGUGGCCAACUAAGUCAGACGUGAAAUCCCUCGGCUUAACCGGGGAACUGCGUCUGAUACUGGAUGGCUGGAGUGUGGGAGAGGGAUGCGGAAUUCCAGGUGUAGCGGUGAAAUGCGUAGAUAUCUGGAGGAAUACCGGUGGCGAAGGCGGCAUCCUGGACCGACAUUGACGCUGAACGGCGAAAGCUAGGGGAGCAAACAGG
rnacentral:rRNA from 1 species